AGAUAGAGUUGUUACCCAUUCAUUAAGAACAUAUCUAGAUCUGCUCUUUCAAAACAAGGUAGUAGGUAAUACAGAGAUAUACUCAUAGCAAACAGAAGGAAUAGCACAGACUGGGACACCCGUAGCUUUCUUUGUCAAGACAACACCACCGGUCAAACGGUUAUGUUUCUAAUCAAAUUCAUAACCCAAGAAAUGGACACUGUUUUCUUGCAUGUUCUGGUAUCAAUUUCACCAAUAUCUCAACAGGCACACCCUUCAAUUCAUGAGCUUUAAAGUUGAAUAGUGGUGGAAGGAAGCGUCCAUUAGGCAAUCGGGUAUUCGGAUCGCGAAGCUCAUCAAAAAAUUGAUGAGUCAAGGCAUCCAACGCUGUGCACCUUAGGUUAGGAGAGUAUUGCAAUAGUCUAGACACAAGAUCAACAGCUUCUGG
rnacentral:misc_RNA from 1 species